rnacentral:rRNA from 1 species
AUUGAACGCUGGCGGCAUGCCUAACACAUGCAAGUCGAACGGGGCAGCAAUGCCUAGUGGCGGACGGGUGAGGAACACGUAGGAAUCUGCCCUUAAGAGGGGGAUAACCAGGGGAAACCCUGACUAAUACCGCAUGAUCUCUUCGGAGCAAAGAGGGGGACCGCAAGGCCUCUCGCUUCUGGAUGAGCCUACGUCUGAUUAGCUAGUUGGUAGGGUAAAGGCCUACCAAGGCGACGAUCAGUAACUGGUCUGAGAGGAUGAUCAGUCACACCGGAACUGAGAGACGGUCCGGACUCCUACGGGAGGCAGCAGUGGGGAAUAUUGGACAAUGGGCGCAAGCCUGAUCCAGCAAUGCCGCGUGUGUGAAGAAGGCCUUCGGGUUGUAAAGCACUUUAGCCUGGAAAGAAAAAACUUUGGUUAACACCCAAAGUCUUGACGGUACCAGGAGAAUAAGCACCGGCUAACUCUGUGCCAGCAGCCGCGGUAAAAC